AUACGAAGGGUGCAAGCGUUAAUCGGAAUUACUGGGCGUAAAGCGCGCGUAGGUGGUUUGUUAAGUUGGAAGUGAAAGCCCCGGGCUUAACCUGGGAACUGCUUUCAAAACUGGCAAGCUAGAGUAUGGCAGAGGGUGGUGGAAUUUCCUGUGUAGCGGUGAAAUGCGUAGAUAUAGGAAGGAACACCAGUGGCGAAGGCGACCACCUGGGCUAAUACUGACACUGAGGUGCGAAAGCGUGGGGAGCAAACAGGAUUAGAAACCCUAGUAGUCC
rnacentral:rRNA from 1 species